CAGAGCGGAUCGAGAGCUCAACCGGCUUCCGAGCAUGCGCGAGAACCCAAUGCAUGCGCAGAGCCGCCGCCGAAGCCCAGCGCCUGCGUAGGCGCUGCCCGCUGAGAGGGGGCGUUCCCGCCGAAAUGGCGGCGCGGAGGGAGGGUAGGAAUGCGGGCGGGUGUCGCGGUUCGUGUGCGUCUGCUCUGUUCCUAUACCUCUGUUCUUCGUCUUGGGGAUAAAAACAUGCCAGCUCUUACCUUGUUUCCACAAACUGUGCAGCAAUAAAAGUCUGCUAUCCAGAGUGCAUAGCUGACCAUCUUUUUGAUUGGAAAACUGCUGAACUCCUGUGGGCUGACUUUUGACGUGGACUACUGUUGAUCACUGAGCUCAGCUUGACUGAAAUCUAAAUUCCUUGCUUGUUCUAGGGCUUACAUCCUGCAAAAAUGCAUACACUUUAUUUCCUGAGCUAGGUUGUGCCUAUUCCCAAGAUGAGAACCUGUGUGAAGGAAUAAAAAGAUGUGUCAUACGAUACACAUACAAGCAAGUUCUGUUUACCCCUCUGCUUUCCUCAGCUUCUGAAAGAGGAACGCGAAACCACUGUGAGUGAUGGUGGUCUCAGCAGACAGCUUUCGUUUAGCCUGUGGGGUAAGGACAACCUGAAUGGAAACAAGAUCUCUUGUCUGCUGGAUGUUGCUUUCCUGUAUCUGGAAUCCAAAAUCUGACUAGUGCCAGCUGGCCUGCCCGCAGCAAAUCCUUGUACUCAGGGGACAGGAGGGAUCCAUGGAUCUGUGGGAAACAAGGCGGACUGAAGACCUCUCAACAUGACUAUAGUGUUUUAUUUUUUUGAGGGAAAAAGGUUUCUGAGGCCAAAUGUAAGCUGCCCCACCUGCUGCUGAUGGGCAUAAGAAGACUGUAAAACUGUACACAGUCAGAGUAUCCUACUGAUACUACUAUCCUAUGAUCAAGGAACAUCCAUCCUGAUAACAGAGCAACAUACAGAUGAAUGGGAACUACACAAAGUAAACAAAAGAUGGGUAAUGCAGCACCCCAGCAGGAAUUGUAGAGCCGCCAACUGAAUUGUGUUGACAUUGUAAAGUCGCAUUCCUUCGGAAUAUAGAACAGUUCUCUUGCAAAAAAAAACCCAAAGUCAACAAAAAUGCAUUAUCAGAAUUCAGAAAGAAAGCAUUUUGAAUGAUAACAGUGCUUCUCUAAAAAAAUAAAUAAAUAGAGCAUUGGAAUGAGCUUUAGAUUUGAACAUUGCCUUGGAAUCCAG
rnacentral:lncRNA from 1 species